rnacentral:rRNA from 1 species
AACUAACGCUGGCGGCGUGCCUAACACAUGCAAGUCGAACGGCAGCACGGGGCAACCUGGUGGCGAGUGGCGAACGGGUGAGUAAUACAUCGGAACGUGCCCAAUCGUGGGGGGAUAACGUAGCGAAAGUUACGCUAAUACCGCAUACGAUCUACGGAUGAAAGCGGGGGAUCGCAAGACCUCGCGCGAAUGGAGCGGCCGAUGUCAGAUUAGGUAGUUGGUGGGGUAAAGGCUCACCAAGCCAACGAUCUGUAGCUGGUCUGAGAGGACGACCAGCCACACUGGAACUGAGACACGGUCCAGACUCCUACGGGAGGCAGCAGUGAGGAAUAUUGGUCAAUGGGCGCAAGCCUGAACCAGCCAUCCCGCGUGCAGGAAGACGGCCCUAUGGGUUGUAAACUGCUUUUCCAGGGAGAGAAACUUACGCACGUGUUGCGUGACUGACGGUACCCUGGGAAUAAGCAUCGGCUAACUCCGUGCCAGCACGCCGAC